AAUCAAAUACAGUAUUUGCUAUUCCCAAUAAAAAAGAAUUUCUUGAAUAUAAAAACAUAAU
rnacentral:sRNA from 10 species